rnacentral:rRNA from 1 species
AGAGUUUGAUCCUGGCUCAGGAUGAACGCUAGCUACAGGCUUAACACAUGCAAGUCGAGGGGCAGCAUGGUCUUAGCUUGCUAAGGCCGAUGGCGACCGGCGCACGGGUGAGUAACACGUAUCCAACCUGCCGUCUACUCUUGGACAGCCUUCUGAAAGGAAGAUUAAUACAAGAUGGCAUCAUGAGUCCGCAUGUUCACAUGAUUAAAGGUAUUCCGGUAGACGAUGGGGAUGCGUUCCAUUAGAUAGUAGGCGGGGUAACGGCCCACCUAGUCUUCGAUGGAUAGGGGUUCUGAGAGGAAGGUCCCCCACAUUGGAACUGAGACACGGUCCAAACUCCUACGGGAGGCAGCAGUGAGGAAUAUUGGUCAAUGGACGAGAGUCUGAACCAGCCAAGUAGCGUGAAGGAUGACUGCCCUAUGGGUUGUAAACUUCUUUUAUAAAGGAAUAAAGUCGGGUAUGCAUACCCGUUUGCAUGUACUUUAUGAAUAAGGAUCGGCUAACUCCGUGCCAGCAGCCGCGGUAAUACGGAGGAUCCGAGCGUUAUCCGGAUUUAUUGGGUUUAAAGGGAGCGUAGAUGGAUGUUUAAGUCAGUUGUGAAAGUUUGCGGCUCAACCGUAAAAUUGCAGUUGAUACUGGAUAUCUUGAGUGCAGUUGAGGCAGGCGGAAUUCGUGGUGUAGCGGUGAAAUGCUUAGAUAUCACGAAGAACUCCGAUUGCGAAGGCAGCCUGCUAAGCUGCAACUGACAUUGAGGCUCGAAAGUGUGGGUAUCAAACAGGAUUAGAUACCCUGGUAGUCCACACGGUAAACGAUGAAUACUCGCUGUUUGCGAUAUACAGCAAGCGGCCAAGCGAAAGCGUUAAGUAUUCCACCUGGGGAGUACGCCGGCAACGGUGAAACUCAAAGGAAUUGACGGGGGCCCGCACAAGCGGAGGAACAUGUGGUUUAAUUCGAUGAUACGCGAGGAACCUUACCCGGGCUUGAAUUGCAGAGGAAGGAUUUGGAGACAAUGACGCCCUUCGGGGCCUCUGUGAAGGUGCUGCAUGGUUGUCGUCAGCUCGUGCCGUGAGGUGUCGGCUUAAGUGCCAUAACGAGCGCAACCCCUCUCCUUAGUUGCCAUCAGGUCAUGCUGGGCACUCUGGGGACACUGCCACCGUAAGGUGUGAGGAAGGUGGGGAUGACGUCAAAUCAGCACGGCCCUUACGUCCGGGGCUACACA